rnacentral:rRNA from 1 species
GAUGAACGCUGGCGGCGUGCUUAACACAUGCAAGUCGAACGGAAACGCCCUGCUUUUGUGGGGUGCUCGAGUGGCGAACGGGUGUGUAACACGUGAGUAACCUCCCCUUGACUUUGGGGUAACUUCAGGAAACUGGGGCUACUACCGGCUAGGAGCUCCUGCUGCAUGGUGGGGGUAGGAAAGUUUCGGCGGGUGGGGAUGGACUCGCGGCUUAUCAGCUUGUUGGUGGGGUAGUGGCCUACCAAGGCUUUGGCGGGUAGCCGGCCUGGGAGGGUGGACAGCCACAUUGGGACUGAGAGACGGCGCAGACUCCGACGGUAGGCAGCAGUGGGAAAUAUUACACAGUGGGCCGAAGCCUGAUGCAACAACGCCGCGUGCGGAAUGACGUCCUGCGGGUUGUAAACCGCUUUCGCCUAUGACGAAGCGUGAGUGACGGUAAUGGAUAAAGAAGCACCGGCUAACUACGUG